rnacentral:rRNA from 1 species
CACGAAGUUAGCCGGGGCUUCUUCUCCGACUACCGUCAUUAUCUUCAUCGGUGAAAGAGCUUUACAACCCUAAGGCCUUCAUCACUCACGCGGCAUGGCUGGAUCAGGCUUGCGCCCAUUGUCCAAUAUUCCCCACUGCUGCCUCCCGUAGGAGUCUGGGCCGUGUCUCAGUUCCAGUGUGGCUGAUCAUCCUCUCAGACCAGCUAAAGAUCGUCGCCUUGGUAGGCCAUUACCCCACCAACUAGCUAAUCUUACGCGGGCUCAUCUAAUUCCGAUAAAUCUUUCCCCCGUAGGGCGUAUACGGUAUUAGCAGUCGUUUCCAACUGUUGUUCCGUAGAACUAGGUAGAUUCCCACGCGUUACUCACCCGUCUGCCACUCCCCUUGCCGGGCGUUCGACUUGCAUGUGUUAAGCCUGCCGCCAGCGUUCCGUUCUGACGUCCAGGGACUCAAAACUCU